GGCUGAAUAUGAGCCAGCAGUGUGCCCAAGUGGCCGAGAACGCCAAUGGCAUCCUGGCUUGGAUCAGGAAUGGUUUGGUGAGCAGGACUAAAGAAGUUAUCCUGCCCCUGCACUUGGCAUUGGUGAGGCCUCACCUCGAGUGCUGUGUUCAGUUUUGGCCACCUCAGUACAGAAAGGACAUGGAGGUGCUGGAGCAGGUCCAAAGAAGCUCAACAAGGCUUGUGAAGGGCUUAGAGAAUAUGGCCUAUGAGGAGAGACUGAAGGAACUGGGGCCGUUUAGUCUGGGGAAAAGGAGGCUGAGGGGAGACCUCAUUGCUCUCUUCCGAUAUCUGAAAGGUGCUCACAGCGAGAGCGGGGUUGGUCUCUUCUCACUGGUGACAGGUGACAGGACAAGGGGAAAUGGCCUCAAGUUGUGCCAGGGGAGGCUUAGGUUGGAUAUUAGGAAACGCUUCUUUACAGAAAUGGUUGUUCAGCACUGGGAUGGGCUGCCCAGGGGGUGGUUGAGUCACCAUCCCUGGAUGUGUUUAACAACCGUUUGGAUGUGGUGCUCAGGGACGUGAUUUAGUGGAGGGAUGUUAGAGUUCGGGUAGGAUGGUUGGGUUGUGGUUGGACUCAGUGAUCUUUAAGGUCUUUUCCAACCUGAGUGAUUCCAUGAUGCUAUGAUUCUAUUUCCUUGCACCCACAGGGAAAGCAGAGAAACAAAAAGGAAAAGGACUGCAUACACAUUCAGUGUAAAGGAAACAUGAAAAUAAAAUAAAUGGCUUUUCCAGAGUCAUUUUGCAGAAAAUAGAGGAAUUUUUUCCCAGCGGAUUAGCAUUUGAUGCAGUUCUUUUUUUCUGUAUAUUUUUUUAUUGUUAGAUGUUCUGAAUAAUAAAAGAAGAUGACGUUUUAGUGAGGAUGAGCAGAGUAGUCCCCAAUUUAACUAAUACAACUGUACAUUCGUUCUGGGUCUUUGUCAACAUACAUUAAAAAUACUUCAUUGGUUCAACCCAUUUAGUUUUCUGAGGGAGUCUUGGGAAUUCCUUGCUGUUAAAUGAAUUAAGAGACACAGCCAGUCUGGAAGAGGAGCCUUUGAAUGUUUCAUUUCUCUGUUGCAUAAUGCACUGACACAUCCUGCCUCUGAAGGUGUCUCACAAAGCAGUCGUGGAGUGAUGGCUGAAAUGGAGUUUUGUAUGCUUGUGUCAUUUUCUUUGUGGGUGUGCAGGUUGGGACUGAACCCUACAAAGGCUGCUGCCUGUAGAGGGGCUGCUCAGUGCAGAAAGUCUGUACAGGAGCUGUGCAUGGUUUGGGCUUCUGAUUUAUUUCUUUUCUUUCCUCCUUUUUUUUUUUCUUUCCUUUUUUUUUCUGGCCCCUGCUCUGGACGCCACUGAAGUCACUGAAGGCUGCAUUCAGGAAACUUUGAAUCAGGCCCCUGAUAAGGGCAGCAUGCAUGGAGUUCCAAGAUGUGUCCUGGAAAGAGGAAUUCUUACAGAGAGAUGUGAUGAAAUACUGCCAUGCAUGGAGGAAGUGACUGUUAAGGAGAGCAAAAAAGACCAUUUCCAAGCAUGGUAAAAGAUUGGAGUGAAUUUGAUGCUAUCGAAAGAAUGAUUUUACAGAAUAGGAGACUAGAAUUCUGCUUACAAAGUGAACAUCUUUGGAAACCCAACAAGUACUUCAAAAGAAACACUGCAGACCUCUCAGAAAUGCCUGUGGACUACUGAUGGUCUUCAAAGAAUUUGGGCGGCGCUAUGGAGCAGCGUUAAUCACUGCAGAUAAUUAGAUUGGAGGACAGCCAGCAUAGCCUGUCAUCUGGACAUCAUCAAACAAUUGCAACUGCAACGUCCUGCUCCUGUGAGUGAACACCCAAACAGCACGUGGCUACAGACUGCAGGGCAUGACUGUGCAGGUCGAGGUGCGUUUGGGGCUGUGGCAGUUUAAAGAUUUUUAUGGAAUCCCUGUAUCCUAACACUGAUACUCAAAGGGAAGUUAAGAUGUCCAUUUCACUGAGUACUCCCUAUGUCUUGCCACAACUAUAGAUAAAAGAUGCAGAUGUUCACAAGGGAUUCCGUGUAUCCCUUGGUGGUGGUGAACAGUUUUCUGCAGAUGAGUCUAAGGCUUCAGAGACUUGUGGCAAAUGGUACCUGGUGUGCAAGGAGGAGCCCAGAGCCUGAGGUCUCAAGAAAGGUUGUAGAUUAAUAUGUGGGGCAACUUUUUGUUCUUUGGAGCCCAGGUCUCAUCCUUGUUGCUGUGUACUUAGCAUGUGUAAUCAGACAUAAGGUAAUUCUUAAUACAGCAGCUCUUACCACUUCAUUUUGAACUUGCUGUAUAUUUUGUAUUCAGGUGCAGGCAACACAUUCCAGGAAGAAUAAUUGAAUCCUUGAAAAUGGGAGUACAUAAGAAGUACAGAGUAAAUGCAUUUACUUUUGGCAGAAAUUCUGGACAGUGCAGUACUUGAUCCAAGGGAGUAAGAAGGCUAUUAUCAUCCAUUAUCUUUCUGUGCUUAAAGCCACAUUUUCCUGAGUGCUUUUCCCCUGUGUGAGUGCUGAUACUUUCAGUGUAAGGAAGGAUCUGAGGUUCCCUUACAGUGGUUAUACUGCAUCACCUCAUGUUCUCGAAUGUAAGAUGCACUACCAGUCACUCAUGGACAGUGACUUUCAUCAGACAGAGCGAUUUGAAGAUCAGAGGUUGCUAGGAAUAAACAGAGAGUUUAUAAUGAACAGAAAAAUGAAUUCAUUAAAAGAAAGUGCUACAUCUUAGAGUUCGGGAAGAUUAGGGAUACAGGAUAAUUGCAGACGUCCGGUGGAGUUGGAUCUGGCAAAGGAAAUUAAAAAAAUGCUGCAGAAGUCCUUAGUCAUGUACAACAGUAAUUUCACAACAUAAAAAUGUAUGAUUUGCGUUUAACUUCGGUGAAAUUUUUGCUGAGGUCAGUAUAGAAAAUUACAAUGCUGCAUAUCAAAUUAUAGUUCCUCCUAGUGAAUAUUGACAAGGUACUGUUGCAUGUCAUGCAGAGCAGUGAGGAGUCAUAGCUGCUCCAACAGAACUCUACAUAUAGUUUUAACUUUUUUUUCUUUAAUGCCACAUUUUUGUGUAGUUCAGAAUUUAGGGAAAUCAGCAUUACAAACAGCCUCAAUUUGGUUCAAAAAGCA
ensembl:lncRNA